rnacentral:rRNA from 1 species
CCUUACCAACCCUUGACAUCCCGGGACCGGCCCAGAGAUGGGUCUUUCACUUCGGUGACUCGGUGACAGGUGCUGCAUGGCUGUCGUCAGCUCGUGUCGUGAGAUGUUCGGUUAAGUCCGGCAACGAGCGCAACCCACGUCUUUAGUUGCCAGCAGUUCGGCUGGGCACUCUAAAGAAACUGCCCGUGAUAAGCGGGAGGAAGGUGUGGAUGACGUCAAGUCCUCAUGGCCCUUACGGGUUGGGCUACACACGUGCUACAAUGGUGUCUACAGUGGGUUAAUCUCCAAAAGACAUCUCAGUUCGGAUUGGGGUCUGCAACUCGACCCCAUGAAGUCGGAAUCGCUAGUAAUCGCGUAACAGCAUGACGCGGUGAAUACGUUCCC